rnacentral:rRNA from 1 species
ACCAGUACCGUGAGGGAAAGGUGAAAAGCACCCCGGGAGGGGAGUGAAACAGUACCUGAAACCGUGCGCCCACGAGCAGUCGGAGCACCUUUAUGGUGUGACGGCGUGCCUUUUGUAGAAUGAGCCAGCGAGUCGCUGGCGCGGGGCGAGGUUAACCGAAAGGGAGCCGAAGCGAAAGCGAGCCUUAACAGGGCGACUUGAGUCCCGCGCCGCGGACGCGAAGCCGGGUGAGCUAUCCGUGGGCAGGCUGAAGCGGGGGUAAGACCCCGUGGAGGGCCGAACGCACGUCGGUUGAAAACGGCGGCGAUGACCUGCGGAUAGGGGUGAAAGGCCAAUCAAACCCGGAGAUAUCUCGUUCUCCCCGAAAUAGCUUUAGGGCUAGCGUCGCGCGUUCACCGCCGGAGGUAGAGCACCGGAUGGACGAGGGGGCUUCGCCGCCUACCGAAUCCAACCGAACUCCGAAUGCCGGCGGCCCAGAGCGCGGCAGUCAGAGCAUGUGGGCUAAGCUGUGUGCUCGAGAGGGAAACAGCCCGGACCGCCCGCUAAGGUCCCCAAGUUCCAGCCGAGUGGCAAAGGAUGUGCGUCCGCCCAGACAACCAGGAUGUUGGCUUAGAAGCAGCCAUCCAUUCAAAGAGUGCGUAACAGCUCACUGGUCGAGUGGACAUGCGCCGACAAUACACGGGGCUAAGCUGGACACCGAAGCGGCGGGAUUUUAAUUCAUUAGAAUCGGUAGGGGAGCUUCCCAUGGGCGGAGAAGCCGGAGGGCGACCGACGGUGGAGCGCAUGGGAGUGAGAAUGCUGGCAUGAGUAGCGAGAGACGAGAGAGUAACUCGUCCGCCGUGAACCCGAGGUUUCCUGGGCAAGGCUAAUCCUCCCAGGGUCAGUCGGGGGCUAAGGCGAGGCCGGGAGGCGUAGCCGACGCGCAGCAGGCAGACAUUCCUGCACCGCGCACGCGGCGCUACGACCGACGGGGCGACGGAUGGGGGUGGCUCGGCGGGGUUCUGGACGUCCCCGUGAUGGAGCGCGGCCCGCGGACCAGGGAAAUCCGGUCCGCAGAAGGGCGAGGCUCCGGACGAAGCGAUUGAGCGAAGCGAGUGAGCCCGAGGUCCCUAGAAAAACCCCUAGGCAGGCGCGUGCGCGCCCGUACCGCAAACCGACACAGGUGGGUGGGUAGAACAUACCGAGGCGAUCGGGUCAACCAUGGUCAAGGAACUCGGCACAAUGGCCCCGUAACUUCGGGAGAAGGGGUGCCCGCGCGUACGUGAACGGACUUGCUCCGGGAGCGGAGGCGGGCCGCAGUGGAGAGGCCCAAGCGACUGUUUACCAAAAACACAGGACUCUGCAGAAGCCGCAAGGCGACGUAUAGGGUCUGACGCCUGCCCGGUGCCGGAAGGUCACGCGGAGGAGUUAGCCGUCUCGGCGAAGCCCCGAAGCCAAGCCCCGGUAAACGGCGGCCGUAACUAUAACGGUCCUAAGGUAGCGAAAUUCCUUGUCGGGUAAGUUCCGACCUGCACGAAAGGCGCAACGACUUGGGCGCUGUCUCGACCAUGGACCCGGUGAAAUUGCACUGGUCGUGAAGAUGCGACUUACCCGCGGAAGGACGGAAAGACCCCGUGAACCUUCACUGCAGCUUGGCAUUGGCCGCUGGUCCCGCGUGUAGAGGAUAGGCAGGAGGCUAAGAUCCGGAGGCGCCAGCCCCCGGGGAGCCGCCCUUGGAAUACUGCCCUCGCGCGACCGGCGUCCUAACCCGAGGCCGUCAACCGGCUCGGGGACCGUGCCAGGCGGGCAGUUUGACUGGGGCGGUCGCCUCCUAAAGGGUAACGGAGGCGCGCGAAGGUCCGCUCGGGACGGUCGGCAACCGUCCUUUUGAAUGCAAGAGUACAAGCGGGCUUGACUGCGAGGCCCACAAGCCGAGCAGGUGCGAAAGCAGGCUCUAGUGAUCCGGCGGCCCCGAGUGGGUGGGCCGUCGCUCAACGGAUAAAAGGUACUCCGGGGAUAACAGGCUGAUCUUGCCCAAGAGUCCACAUCGACGGCAAGGUUUGGCACCUCGAUGUCGGCUCAUCGCAUCCUGGGGCUGGAGUCGGUCCCAAGGGUUGGGCUGUUCGCCCAUUAAAGCGGUACGCGAGCUGGGUU